rnacentral:tRNA from 1 species
UGGGGUUUUGGCUCAACGAUAGAGCACUUGCCUUACAUGCAAGGCCCUGGGUUCGAUCCUCAGCACCACAU